UGUGCGCAGGAUUAUCGCGUUGUGUCCUUGCCGUUGUUGACUGCGUGCUGCGCUCAGCGUAGUUUUGUGCGGGUCGCUGGGUAAUUCGGACGCGAUUCUCGAGACUGUUAUCUUUUAUUUUGAGUUUGUAAUUCGGUAAAACGUCUUUAUUUCGACUAGUUGCGUGUCGUUUAGUCAACCAUCGCCGGUAAUCUGUGAUAGUCAUCGUGUUUGGUGUUUAGUGGGAUGAUCUGUACGUGAGCCAUUUUUCCCGUGGAACAUGGACAAAAAUCUGCGUGGAAUACCAAGAAAGAACGUUCUAGGUGAAUUCUACGUCAAAUCAUCAUUUAAUGGACGGCACUGCACAUCAGUGACUUGGCUACCAGCAAUUGCGUCAAUCAGUGACUUGGCUACCAACAAUAGCGUCCCAUCUUUUCCAAGUUCCAGUUAUUUGCUUGCACGCCAGAAAAGAAUUUGGAGCGUAAAACACCCACUGACGUUUCGAUGGGAUGCGAUACCUAUAUAAUUUGCCGUUUAUCUAGUAAUCAAUUCUUGCGCUCCCACAUUAUUUUUCAAAUCACUACAAAUAAUGCGCCCUGGGAAAAAUGAAAAUUUCCCGACUUUUAAAACCACGAACGCAUUCUUUUAGUUCACUUAUAAUUAGAAUUGUAUAUAUUUAGGGACCUUUGACAUUUAAUUUGAUGAAUGCUUGUGGAAUAACAUGCAAUGGAAACUCUUUGCAAAAUAUUAGGUGAUUUAUGGACGGAUUUUACCCAUCCAGUUAUUUGCUGCAAAAUAAACUUUCUGGUACAUAUUUUUACUUCAUUAUGAAAAAGGUUAUCAAGAGUUUACAUUGUUUUGCACAUCUUAACGCCUCACGACUACUGUAUUGUAUUAUUGCUUGUCGUGUUUAUGGGACGAGUUUGCGUUUUAUUUGUUGGUAAUGCGGAUAAGGGUAUUUGUUAGUUGCCGCACUGUUGUUGCCUAGCUUUAACUCGCGAAGGGGGCGUUUUUAGGAAUGUUAAAUUAAAUUCUCCGUCGAGUUGUAUUAAUUAUAGAAAAUUCCGCGCAGUCUCUAGAGAUGUUAAAUUAAAUUCUCCUUAAGGUUGUAUUAGCUUGUUGCAGAAGUUGCGUUUGCAACAUAUGUAAAGUCGAAAAUUGGGUGGUUAAGUGGGAUUUUAACAUGUGGGGGGAAAUUGUUGGAGUUUUUGGGUAUAGCUUGCAAAGGGAGCGGCCUAGAAUUUUCAACGCGGUGCCUGUUGGAGAAGCUUCAACAACAGUGCGCAUAAUCAUAGAUUUGUGUUUGGUUGUGUCAUUCUCUUGAGCACAUAUCCAUGAUUGCUGUUUGUGUUAUGUAAUUGUGUAUGUAGAACUUGAGAACUUCUAUUGUGUAUAUGACUUUGCUGUAUUGUCUUAUGUAUUAAUGUGUUCAUACAUGUUUGUUGUACUGUCCACUUAGAAUUUGUUUUUAUAUGUAAAUGUUUUGUAUUACAUUGUAGCUGUUUGUGUUUUAAUGUUUAUUGUUCAAUAAAACAUAAUGUACUAUUA